rnacentral:tRNA from 1 species
GGGGCCGUAGCUCAGCUGGUAAAGCGCCUGCUUUGCAAGCAGGAUGUCAGCGGUUCGAUUCCGCUCGGCUCCA